UACGUAGGGGGCUAGCGUUGUCCGGAUUUAUUGGGCGUAAAGAGCGUGUAGGCGGCCAUGUAGGUCCGGUGUGAAAACUCGAGGCUUAACCUCGAGAUGUCAUCGGAAACCAUUUGGCUAGAGCCCGGAAGAGGAGAGUGGAAUUCCUGGUGUAGCGGUGAAAUGCGCAGAUAUCAGGAAGAACACCAAUGGCGAAAGCAGCUCUCUGGGACGGUACUGACGCUGAGACGCGAAAGCGUGGGGAGCGAACAGG
rnacentral:rRNA from 1 species